AGCACUCUGCAAGAACGUCGCCGGUCACCGGCGCUCGCAAUGCCUCCGUCGAAGAACCCCUAACCGCGAUGAAGAACCCCUAACCCUCCUUUGAGUUUCUUCGCUCUUCUCUCGCCACUCUCACCCUCAAGCUCACUGAGUCUCACCUCUCUCGCGGCUGGUCUCGCCGUCGACCUCUCUCUAGCUCUCCGGUAUAUCGCUUCUCUCGCGGGCGUUUCAGACUCAAGGUCGUCGCGCUCUGUUUCCGUCGCUGCUCUGUCACCGUCG
rnacentral:lncRNA from 1 species